rnacentral:rRNA from 1 species
AUUGAACGCUGGCGGCAUGCCUUACACAUGCAAGUCGAACGGUAACAGGUCUUCGGAUGCUGACGAGUGGCGAACGGGUGAGUAAUACAUCGGAACGUGCCUAGUAGUGGGGGAUAACUACUCGAAAGAGUGGCUAAUACCGCAUGAGAUCUACGGAUGAAAGCAGGGGAUCGCAAGACCUUGUGCUACUAGAGCGGCCGAUGGCAGAUUAGGUGGUUGGUGGGAUAAAAGCGUACCAAGCCGGCGAUCUGUAGCCGGUCUGAGAGGACGAUCAGCCACGCUGGGACUGAGACACGGCCCAGACUCCUACGGGAGGCAGCAGUGGGGAAUUUUGGACAAUGGGCGCAAGCCUGAUCCAGCAAUGCCGCGUGCAGGAUGAAGGCCUUCGGGUUGUAAACUGCUUUUGUACGGAACGAAAAGCCCUGGGUUAAUACCCUGGGGUCAUGACGGUACCGUAAGAAUAAGCACCGGCUAACUAUGUGCCAGCCGCCGCCGUAAGAC